rnacentral:rRNA from 1 species
AACGAACGCUGGCGGCAUGCCUAACACAUGCAAGUCGAACGAGACCUUCGGGUCUAGUGGCGCACGGGUGCGUAACGCGUGGGAACCUGCCCUUAGGUUCGGAAUAACUCCCCGAAAGGGGUGCUAAUACCGGAUAAUGUCUUCGGACCAAAGAUUUAUCGCCUUUGGGUGGGCCCGCGUUGGAUUAGCUAGUUGGUAGGGUAAAAGCCUACCAAGGCGACGAUCCAUAGCUGGUCUGAGAGGAUGAUCAGCCACACUGGGACUGGGACACGGCCCAGACUCCUACGGGAGGCAGCAGUGGGGAAUAUUGGACAAUGGGCGAAAGCCUGAUCCAGCUAUGCUGGGUGAGUGAUGAAGGCCUUAGGGUUGUAAAGCUCUUUUACCCGGGAUGAUAAUGACAGUACCGGGAGAAUAAGCUCCGGCUAACUCCGUG